rnacentral:misc_RNA from 1 species
GAUGAAGAACGCAGCGAAACGCGAUAGGUAAUGUGAAUUGCAGAAUUCCGUGAAUCAUCGAAUCUUUGAACGCACAUUGCGCCCCCUGGUAUUCCGGGGGGCAUGCCUGUUCGAGCGUCAUUUCACCACUCAAGCCUCGCUUGGUAUUGGGCAACGCGGUCCGCCGCGUGCCUCAAAUCGACCGGCUGGGUCUUCUGUCCCCUAAGCGUUGUGGAAACUAUUCGCUAAAGGGUGUUCGGGAGGCUACGCCGUAAAACAACCCCAUUUCUAAGGUUGACCUCGGAUCAGGUAGGGAUACCCGCUGAACUUAAGAAUAUCAAUAAGCGGAGGA